AUGCAACCAUGUGCACCGGCUUUGAAUCCAAGCCCCACAACCCCCACCCCCUCCGACUCAAAAGCUGCCUAUGUACUCACUCAAAUUACUAGCAGGUGUCAGUGACUGAAGAUCUGGCUUGAAAUGGGAGAAAAAGCACCCACAUCGAACAAACCAGGGGGAAUACGGACCCAUUUGGCUCAUCCCAUCAAUCUGAAAGUCCCAAAGACAAGAUGUAAGAAGCAGUUCCGAGCAUGAAAUAAACGGCGCGCUGGAUUCGAAGAGGCUGCUGAAUGCCAUCUGACACUAAAAGCACGAUUGCCAGACCCCUCUGGCAAUUUAUUUGUUGAGGGAGGGAAGCACCUCUUCUCUUUGGAACAGAGCUCAGCUGAAUGGGGAGAGUCAUCAUUUUAUUUUUGUCAGCCCAUGGCAGACCAGUUUCAUUUCCCCUUUACAUUGGGUUAAAAAGCUGGAGCCUGUGCUGAAGCUCCAUGGAGAUACUCUGGUGUUAAGCUGAUGGGAAGGAGAGCAGAAUUUGGCCCUUAGUUUUUUAAACAGACGCUUAGAUUUCUGGGGGCAAUUUUUUAACAACUCAAGGAAAUUCUGAGCUGUCCUUCCACGUAAUCACACUGGGGAAACUCACCCCUGUGCAGAGGGCCAGCACUCACCCUAGGCACACAGGACUUAAGUGGUGCUCAGAGUUUGGUGCUGGUGUAACCAAUUGGUCAUUGUAUGUCAGGUAUCCCCUCUGUGCCCAAUCCACAGAGGAUGUGAGUCUGUUACAUCCUAGCUAUGAAGCUGGCUCUUUAGCUUAAGCUACAGAGACUCAUACUUUUAGUUCUGGAGUCCCCAGCUCAAUCCUCAUCAUUUAAGUGUGGGCUUGUCCAGGAUUUGAACUGUGGGGGGCCUCACAGACUCUGGAUGAGCUUCCUCUGUGGAGGAGUCCAGCUCUGCAGCUACGGGCUCUGACAGACUCACAUCGUCUGGGUUGGGCACAGAGGACAAUAGGCAGCACAUGCAGACCAGUAGGGCACAAUACCCCGCUGUUUAGGCAUGAAUAUCCCUCAUCCACACCUAAACCAAUGCACAUACAAAGAAAUAAAAUAAAACCAAAUUGUCAUACAGUUUGGAUUUCAUAUAUAGCUUGUCAUAAAUGAGGAAAUAUAAGGCACAGGGAAUGUCACAAUCUUUAUAAUUCUGCAUUCACUUCUACUAGUGAGAACUCUCAGAUGACCAAAAUAAAGACUUGAGGUUGUCAUAGCUGUAAAUCAGUGGGAGAAGCCCAAUAUACAGAAUAUCUCUUAGAUUGCAAAGGAGUUAAAGUCCUUCAUAUAGCAGCCUGCCUGGAACUUGGAGGGAGGAGCACAGGUUGCAGUAGUGAAAAAUUUGAAGGAGACACCCGGAAAUUAGUCUG